rnacentral:rRNA from 1 species
GGCGGCAUGCUUUACACAUGCAAGUCGAGCGGCAGCGCGGGGGCAACCCUGGCGGCGAGCGGCGGACGGGUGAGUAAUGCAUCGGAACGUAUCCCGUAGUGGGGGACAACCCAGCGAAAGCUGGGCUAAUACCGCAUAUGCUCUACGGAGGAAAGCGGGGGACUUCGCAAGGAGCCUCGCGCUAUGGGAGCGGCCGAUGUCCGAUUAGCUAGUUGGUGGGGUAAAGGCUUACCAAGGCGACGAUCGGUAGCUGGUCUGAGAGGAUGAUCAGCCACACUGGGACUGAGACACGGCCCAGACUCCUACGGGAGGCAGCAGUGGGGAAUUUUGGACAAUGGGGGCAACCCUGAUCCAGCCAUGCCGCGUGCGGGAAGAANGCCUUCGGGUUGUAAACCGCUUUUGGUCGGGAAGAAAGGGUUCGUCCUAACAGGGCGGACUGUUGACGGUACCGGCAGAAUAAGCACCGGCUAACUACGUGCCA